UUUUCGGCUUUUAUCCCCGCCCACGCGAUCGCUCGACCGUGCGGCCGCUCCUCGUCUUGCCUGCUUUCCCCAUUCCGUAUUCUCACUCCCAAUCGUCGCCGGAGGCCAUGAAGAAGGGCGGAGCUGCCCAGAGGGGUGACGCCAGAGGAGGCGAAGCGGCGGCGGCGGCCGCGCUGGCGGCGGUGGAGGAGGAGGACGAGGAUGAGGAGGAGGAGGAACAAGAAUCCUCCUCUUCGGACUCCGGGAAGCUCUACGAGGCGUACAACGAGCUCCACGGGCUGGCACAGGAGUUCGAGACGCCCUUCGAGGUACCGGCGGUGCUGGUGGUGGGGCACCAGACCGACGGGAAGAGCGCGCUCGUGGAGGCCCUCAUGGGUUUCCAGUUCAACCACGUCGGCGGCGGCACCAAGACCCGCCGGCCGAUCACCCUUCACAUGAAGUACAACCCCGGUUACCGCGUCCCGGUCUGCCGCCUCGUUUCCGACGCUGACCCCGCCGUCGCCAGUCGCAUGUCCCUUCCCGAGAUCCAGGCUUAUAUUGAAGCUGAAAACAUGAGGCUGGAGAGUGAUCCUUGUCAGUUUUCAGAAAAAGAAAUCAUUAUUAGGAUAGAGUAUAAGUACUGCCCAAAUCUUACCAUCAUUGAUACACCGGGUCUUAUUAUUCCAGCUCCAGGUCGAAGGAACCGAACUUUACAGGGACAAGCUCGUGCAGUGGAGGCACUUGUACGAGCUAAAAUGCAGCAUAAAGAGUUAAUCAUUUUAUGCCUUGAAGAUUGCAGUGAUUGGAGUAAUGCCACAACACGCAGAAUAGUGAUGCAAAUUGAUCCUGAGCUUUCAAGGACUGUCAUUGUAUCCACAAAGCUCGACACAAAAAUUCUGCAGUUUGCACGGGCUUCAGAUGUUGAAGUUUUUCUUAAACCACCUGCUUGUACAUUGGAUGGCUGUUUGUUAGGUGGUUCACCCUUCUUCACUUCUGUGCCAUCAGGGAGAGUUGGUUCUGGGAGUGAAGCUAUUUAUCGAUCCAAUGAGGAGUUUAAGAAAGCCAUCUGUUUGAGAGAAAUGGAAGAUAUUGUGGCUUUAGAGGGAAAGCUAGGUAGGUCAUUGUCAAAGGAGGAAAGAAGUAGAAUAGGUGUGAGCAGCCUUAGAUUAUUUUUGGAAGAAUUGUUGCAGAAAAGGUAUAUGGACAAUGUUCCACUAAUCAUUCCACUUUUGGAGAAGGAACUUCGGAGCACUACGAGGAAAAUACGUGAAACUAACCAAGAAUUCAGAAAUUUGGAUGAAGCAAAAUUGAAGGAAAAGGGACGUGCAUUCCAUGACUCUUUUUUGACCAAGUUAUCUUUGUUAUUGAAAGGCACAGUUGUGGCACCUCCUGAUAAAUUUGGAGAAACAUUGCUGGAUGAGAGGACUAUGGGUGGACCUUUUACAGGAACUGACAGUCUUCAGCUUCCACACAAGAUGAUGCCUAAUGCUGGAAUGCGUCUUUAUGGCGGUGCGCAAUACCAUCGUGCAAUGGCAGAAUUUCGUCUUGUUGUUGGAGGUGUCAAGUGUCCUCCAAUUACUAGGGAGGAGAUAGUAAAUGCAUGUGGAGUUGAAGACAUUCAUGAUGGAACAAACUACUCUAGGACUGCCUGCGUAAUUGCUGUUGCCAAAGCUCGUGAUACCUUUGAGCCUUUCCUUCAUCAGUUGGGCUUUAGGCUUCUAUACAUUUUGAAGAGGCUACUGCCUAUUUCCAUGUAUCUGUUGCAGAAAGAUGGAGAGUAUCUAAGUGGCCAUGAAGUAUUUCUGAGACGUGUUGAGACAGCCUUUAAUAAUUUUGCUGAAUCGACUGAACGAUCAUGUCGUGAAAAAUGUAUGGAAGACUUAGUGAGCACUACACGAUAUGUCACUUGGUCUCUUCAUAACAAGAAUCGGGCUGGAUUAUGCCAAUUUUUGGACUCAUUUGCUAGCUCAGAGCAGUAUAGCGCUAGCACCAUCUCUUCAGGUGUUCAACAGGAACAAUACUUGGCUCUGAAUGACAACAAAUCUGAUAGAUCGAAGCCAGAUUCAAAACCUAACCAUUCUAACCCAUGUUCUGACUCGAUUCCAUGCAAUCCUACAGCAGAAACAAGGCUGGUUGAUCUUUUGGAUAGCACACUGUGGAACCGAAGACUGGCUCCUUCAUCUGAAAGAAUUGUUUAUGCCUUGGUAUAUCAAAUUUUUCAUGGGAUCAAGGAGCAUUUUCUGGUAUCUACAGAAUUAAAGUUCAAUUGCUUCUUCCUGAUGCCGGUUGUUGACAAGUUGCCAGCCCUUCUGUGGGAAGACCUGGAAUCUGCAUUUGGAGAUGACUUGGACCAAAUUUUUGACAUAACUCAGCUACGCCACUCUCUCGGACAGCGCAAGCGGGAAUUGGAGAUCGAAUUGAAACGGUUACAGAGGCUGAAGGAGAAGUUUAGAGAGAUAAAUGAGCAGUUGAGUUCUUAUCUCGUCCGACCAUAGAUAUUUCUAGCCUCAGUAGAGCCACAAUGCAGAUGCAGAUGUCAGCGUUCUUUAUCGAUCCAAUUGGACUUGUUAUUGUAGAUAGAUGAUUGGGAUCAACAAUAAAACAACCCAACAAGAAUUAUUUGUCUCCUACAGGAUGUUACUUUUAAGAAAUACUAUCGUUCUAUGGCGAUGCACAAUUAGUGCACUUUCUUAUAUAUCCAUUGACUCUUCUCUUA